AACCUGCCGAUCAGUCACCGAGUAACUACUAACCAAGCAGGCAAGUCACUUCACUACUAGACAAGUUGGAUUCUGGGCUUCUUACAUAGUAAUAGUAAUUGGAUUCUGGGCUUCUUACAUAGUAAUAGUAAUAGGAUGAAACUAUCGAUGAAACUACUUGCAUUGAGAUCAUCUUCUUAAUCCGAUGAAACAGGAACUGGGCAUUCUGCUGAUGAUCCUAAUCCUUAUUCUGCCUAUAAUGCCUCUGAUCCCUCAGCUUAUCCAUAUUCUUAUCUUGAAACGGAGUAGGGGCCCAGCUUCUGAUACAGCGGAGUCUCUUUAAACACCUUAUGCGGCUUACCUCUUACUUGCGCCUGCAUCCUCACACGACUUGGAUCACUUAGCGCAUUUAUGGAGUUGGGCUUCCUUCUCUUAUGAAAGUACACCGAACAAGCAAAACACUCUAGCUUACGUGGUGAUUGAUUUGGUCUAAUCUUCUCUUCCAUUCUUCAGCGUUAGGAAUCUUCGUAUCAGCGUUAGGAGGAGAACAGGACUUGUCUUUCAGCUUCCUUUAGCCUUCGCAUUCCAAAUGAUAUUCUGCUGUCGAACAGUCCAGUCCGUCCAUUUGAGUCGACUUUCCAUCCUUAUUAAUAUGAUUCUCUUGCUUAUGCACCUCUUUCUACACUACAGAGUUAAAGCGACUCUUCCAUAGCAGUUUUCCGCCCAAUAUCAUUCAUUGUUGCGUAGCUCAGCACUGCCUCCUAUACCCUUCUGGUAACUUAGCAUCUUUGACUUUUCCAACAACUACCACUUUUCAUUUCUUUUUCUUCUUCUUCUUUUUUCAUCCCACGUAGCAAGCAUCUCCUCUAUUACUGAUCUCACGUAGCAAGCAUCUCUUACGGAUUCUCCUUAUAAUAAAUCAUAGGAUCUCUAAUCUCUUACAAAUCCAGCUCCACCACUUUGUCAUUGUCAUUUUCGUUGUUGCCAUCACUACUAGUCUCAAGGACAAGAAAGAGAAAUAAUAGGAGAAAUAGAGUUUUUCUAGUUUGCAAAGAGAAGCCAUGUUCUUACAUUUGGAACAUAGAUAUGAAUUGAGAAACAAGGAUGCAAUGAAGAUGACAAACUAGAGAACCCCAUUUGAUGAGAGUUAACAUGCCUAGUGUUAUGAGAGAGUGCUAAACAACUAUCUUUCUCUUUUUCUGCUACUAUCAUUCCAUUUAAGUAGCUCCUCAUAUCUUUAGUUAUUAGCCAUACACCCUUAUUUCUCUUAUUUCAUCAUUCUAUCCGAUAUAGCAGAUAAGAGCCAUACAUCCUUUCAAUCUCCUGUUUUUUAGGCCCCAAAUUCAUGGAAUAAGCUUUUGCUCUUUGUAUCUCAUGCCCAUUUAUAUACUGCAUUUCCACAUUGGAUGAUUUCUAGUUGCUUGUAUCGACAUCAAAGCAUUUUCUCUAAUAACACUUGCUUAAGAAACCAUAUUUCUCUAUUAUAUAGGUAGGAUUACAAGUAUUAAGGUAGGAUGAUAAGGAUUAAGGUAGGAUGAUAAGGAUUAAGGUAGGCUGACAAGGAAAGAAAUUGGAUUUCAGUUCAAUGACGCAGUCCUCACUUCUAUGUAGGGUAUAUGGUCCGACUCAACCCCUUCCCCUCGCCAUGCCACUAUGGAGGAAAGACGUCUAUCCAAGCCAAGACCACGGGUAGUUUCAAAAAGGAGAGGAGCACAAGGGAACAAGAAAACAAUAAGCUCAAUACAAUAGCAGAAGUGAGUUCAGAAAUACUUUGUGCGUUAGUGAAGUGAGUUCCAGAAACAAGCAGUUGUGCUAACACGAGCGGAAAGCCCUUCCCCUGCCAUUUCAAUAUGAAUGUCAAUAAUCUUUCUGUUUAUAAAGCAUUGACUGUAAGGUAGUCCUCUCCUGACUCGAAGGAAAGGUUCAAAGCUGCCUCCAUUCACAAGUCACAUUCAUUUGUUGACCGACAAGAAUAGGUCUUUGCUCUUUCAGAUCCGCUCUUCUCUUUGAUUCCGAAAAUACUCUCUUUCCACAGUUCCAGCUAUUCCUUACUUUAGAAAGUAUGCAGCAUUUGUCUAAGUAAACUUGAGAGUCUAUUUAUUGGACGAAUUUCCCUGCACUGCAGCUCUACACCAGGGCGGUCAUCAUUGAAUACUCCUUUAGCAAGCGCCCCGGUAGGAAGUUAUGAAUCUACUAGGGCUGCCGUUGCUUGUUCCCCGGAACUAUAGAAUGGAAUUGAGUAGACAAGUGAUGUAGUUGAUUAACUUGACUCAGUAACUCUAUGCUAUGUCGGCUUAGUUGGUUUUCUCUCUCCUUUACCUGGCUGAGAAACCAUAUGAUUAGUUGGUUUUCUCUCUCCUUUACCUGGCUGGGAAACCAUAUUAUAUAAGAGCGUAAAGUCACCUCACAGCUUGUUCAAUAUUAGUACUAAUAAUGGAAUAUCACUCACACAUGAUAUAAGUGCUUUACUUACCUAACUCGAAAGAAGAUUGGAUAGCCUUCCUUUUGCUCUAAUAUAGAAUCUUGUAAAGUAACCUGCCUGAUAUAAGUGCUUAACCUAACUCGAAAGAGAAAGAAGAUUUGAUAGCCUUACAAAAAAUAUAGAAGAUUGUAAGGUAACCCCGGACUACUGUUAGUAAAGUAACCUAACUAAAGUAAGUAAAGUCACCUAACUAAAGUGUCUUUGGUUAUCGAAUCAAAUGAUUAUUUCUAAAGGGUGUAUAUUUUCAAUGUAGUACUCUUUAAGGGUAGAUGAAUUACCGACCUAUUGUACUAUUUGUAUGAAGGGAGAGAAGCUCGUAUUGUAUAGUAUACUAGUACUAAUCUGACUAAAGAAUUCCCACUCCGGGUACAGCUCCCUCACUUGCGCCAAGCCAACACCCUUAUACCGCACUGCUGAAGGUUAUUCUAUUUCUUCUGUUUCUGCUUCUCUUCUGCUUAAUUCCGUAAUGAAUGGUAUGACUAACGCUUAAUUCCGUAAUGGAGCGUCAAGGGAGUGUUGUUUACUUGAUUCUAUAUGUAGCACGCUCUCAAAUUCAAGCAAGUAAGAAAAUCAUAUAUAUAGUGCACACAUGAUAUAAGAAAAGUCCACUCUAACACUGCAUUGUUUGUUCCAUAAGAAGAAUGACUCCUAACUAUUGCUGACGCCGAUUUGAACUCCCUCCCUAACCCGAGCUAUGGUAUGGAAUCUUAUCGUGUUGAAGAAGAGUAAGAUAGUACAUCCCCUAUUGUUGAAGAAGAGUAAGAUAGUACAUCCCCUAUUGUUGAAGAAGAGUAAGAUAGUACAUCCCCUAUUGUUAGGUUCUUUUUGUUAGUCGAAGUCCACUUGGAAUUUCAAAUGAGUUUCACUCGCUACAGCUACCAUUUGGACUAGUUUUUCUCUCAGUCAAGUAUCGGCUCCUGGCCAGUCUUUGGUUUGCAGACGUUUGGGAAUAGACCGUCUUCUUGCUCUUUUCAAAUAUUCCAAUAUUAAUCUAGCUUUUGAUGCCUAACAAUUGAAUUACGCUUUCACCCUCGGUCAGGUGGUCAGUGAAUUGGUCUUCCCUAUGAGUUAGUAGGAGCCGAGCCUGGUUAGAAGAAUGGUUCUUGGAGGUCUUAGUAGAUGGUCAGAGUCUAGGGAUAUACUCAUUGACUAGUAAGACAGUCUGAGUACUCGUACCAUUCAUGGAUUAGUUUACCAAUCGAGUCAAUUGAAGGAAUGCAUCUGCACUCUCCUAUAGCCUAUAUGGAGGUAGACCUCUUCCUUCCAGGUCAUAUAAAGAAUAGAGAUUAUUUCAGACGUGGUGGAUUGGAAGAGUAAUCGUAGGAUCGUCUUCCGGCGACGGAUCAAUUUCUGGCUUAUUUAGGUAUGAUCUUCUCAUCCAAUCGUGGAAGCCAUUCAACCUCUCCUCGGGACCCUAUUAUUUAGCUUAGCCCGCAGCUGAAAGGAACUUGAGAAACCCGCCGAGAGAACCAAUCUCUGGUAAGCAGUAACCUGGGCAGCAAGGUAAGGCAACAUGGGUUCCCAAAGAAAGGCCGCCUGGGAGGUUUAGCUUAAAGAAGGAGAAAGAUCUGAGUUAACCCAAAGGAGAGAGAUAGGUAAGAAGUGACUCUUAGAGGCGCCGUUCUUUAAGCCGUAUUUACCUUGCUAGGUCUGUCUGUUGUCAAAGAAUCUCUCUCAUAGGUUAGCUCUCUGGUAAGCGAGCAGGAUUAGUUAAGUUUGCUUUCUUCGCAGCAUGAGAGCCAGUCAGAAACAGGAAGAGGUGCGUCUAGCCUUAACCCUUUUGCCAGUUUUCUCUAAUAUUACUUUAUUGCUAAGGCAUCGGUUUUAGGAAGCAGGGUAAUGCAAUUCUAUUAAAGGGGCGAAUCGCUAGUUAGUGGGAAUAGUCCUUUCCUGGGUCGUAAGCCAGCAUCCACCUCACGAACAAGCAGUCCCACGUAGCACUAACUAUCAAUUUCAUAGCGGAGUGAAGUAGAGAAGACGUCUCAGUUCUGCCUUAGCUAUAGAGUGGGGAGUUUUCGUCUCAAGAUUUCUGCCUCUGUUCAACUCCUCUGAUAGCUCAUCCUAUGAUAUGAGUUUCACAAGUGGUUUACCAAAUUCUAUAAGUAAGUUUACGCUAAUAAGAUUAUUCCCAACCCUUAACUUCGGUAGAGCAGAAUCAGAAUAAGGAGAAAAAGCCAGAGAAAAAGCUGGUCUAUAGCUUAGAACACCGACAGCAGCACAAGCACCGAACCUAGACCAAACAAAAGCGGAAAAGAGAAAGAGCGCGCGCCCCACACCCCGUAAGUCCUGUGCUGUCUUGUUGUACUUUGUUCGACAUAAUGAAUUGCAGAAUGGAAUUGGGAAUGCGAAGGCGAAGUGUUGUCUAGAAUCGAAGUGGAGUGUAAUCCUAGUGUGAGUGUAGCUCCGUAAGCGCCGAGUCAAACUCAAACAGUCAAAUCAUCUUUCGAGCACAUGUCAUAUAACAGAGGAAUCUUACCAGAGAGAGCAAUCUUACCAAUAAUCAUUCUAUACCUUCUUACCGGAGAGAGCAAUCUUACCAAUAAUCAUUCUAUACCUUAUUGCAUCUUUUACUUGCGUUGCGGGCUUGCGAGUCUAGCGUUAAUGAGCGGGCAUGAGACCACCCUUACUUUAGUUUCAACUUCACCUCCAUGUGGGCAUUAAAAAAGAUCUGAUAUAUACGACAACACUCGAACAAACAUCGGAUUCUGAAUUCUUUGCUUCUUAUUCCACUUCAUUUCUAGAAGUAAGGAUAACACUAGAACUACUGGUAUAAUACCACAAGAAAGAAAAAAGGUAGAAUACGCCCAGCUCGUACUAGGCGAACAUAAAUGGACUCAUAUGAAGUAGACCUAUACCUAGGCAUAGACCUCGCUUCAAACAAACCCUGUAUUGACUUUAUUAUUACCCCAGAUCCGGAUCUACCAAGUAACUACUACAAAGUUUGCACUCUACCUACACAGUUCCCACUCUUACUCCUGAUCUUGCAGACUAAACUCUAACUUCACUUUCUGAACCGCCAAUACCGAGAUAUCGAACGGAUUCUGAUACAGCUGAUGCUUCUCUUAGCGUAAAAGCCAAUAGGGUCUUAUUCUUUUGCUACUUUCACUCGAACGAAGGAUUCCUUUGCUUAUUAUUUAUACUCUGUUCCUUUUUCUUCUACAUCUUCUGAUCCAGCUCAUGACUGAACCUCUGCAUCUGAGUACGAUUCCACUCAUGAACUGAACUUUGUGCACUAGUUGGUUCCCUUGCCUACCUAUAACUACAUCCAGAGUUGCGGUAAAUAAGAAUAGUUAUCAAUUCUUUAAGUUGACUGAGGAAAGAAAAGAGGUAAGUUCAAGAUGGAUUCUCAUCGGAGGAGUGAAAGAGUGAGUCUAGUAUAGGAGUUCCUUCGGCGGCAGGAGCCCUGUUGGUUUAUUUACUCUAACCUUCUAUGCGUAACACAUGGGUGAGACUACCAAUACCAACUAACCCCCCGAACCAUACCUCUAAACUGACCUUAACGAACCACAUACUACCAACGGACCUUCCCGAACUAUAACCAGAAUUCCAAUUAGUAAUGGAAAACCUCUCCCUUCAUUGCUCGAUCCCGGCAUUAAAGAAAGAAUAGUACAAGCGAAGGGGUGUCGUCAACCCAACCCCUAAAGUGCAUUCUCCUGUUUGAGCUUUGGUCUUCUGCUUCAGAGCUUGAUUUAGUAGUAACUUGCCCGGUCUCGUACGUAAUAGAAGCGGUCUCUUAUGGUAUAGUUUCCUUCCUACAAGCACUGUUUUCAUUCCAAGUUGAUAGUUAGAUCCUUAUAGUUUGAGUUACUUGUCCGGUCUAUCCGGGGUAGGCUUUCCGUCUUUUUGACAGUGGUUCGAUUCCCACCCAGUUACUAGUUAGGCUCGUUAGGCACAGUGGAUUUCUUUACUAUAAGAUAAAGUACUAUAGCCUCAAAAGCACUAGUUCGAGUCCUGUUAGCAGCGAUCUCAGAAUUCAAAGACAGCAGUGCGGGAAUGAAAGCAUAGAGGCACCCUUCUAAUAGGUAGUUUAGUUCCUCCUUUUGAGCUCAAGUCUUGUUAGCCCGUGUUGGAUUACUAUUUGUUAAUUCCAUUCUAUAAGUGGAGUAGUUAGCUUCUAUAAGAGUUGGGGUUUUCCCAGUUUCACGUAUUAGGGGAAGUAGUAGUGGCUCCCGAGUCACUAGUUUAGUCUAUCAGGGUCGUGUCCAAUUCCUUAUUACGAUUAUUCCUUCUAUGGAGUUAGGGGAGGCUCCUCGGUAAUGUUUCAUUAUUGUUCCUAGUAGUUUACUACAGUUCUUUAUUUGGAGCCGUUAUCUUAGACACUAGAUUGAGUUCCUAUACUAGUAUAACUUUACCAAACUAGACAAAGACCUGUUGAUGUCACUUUCAGAAUGAGUUAUCCAACUAACUGUUAUCGGGGAACGAAACCUUCGACGCGCCCGGACGAUGGUGAAUGAUCGCUCGCUUACGGAAUUGGUUAACCCAAAACCAGAAUUAGUGAUGAAUAGCCCUACCUUGCUUUGCUUUAUGGAUUGUGAAGACCGAGGGAACCCACCUUCCAACUAGACACAGACUUAUUGAUGUGUUACUCAAGACAGACUUGUUGAUGUUACUUAAAGAAUGGGCUAUAUUAAUGGAAGGCUAAGUUAUGUUAUACUUGAGGAAUGAGUUCGUGGCUGCUCGUGGACUGAUAGGUGCUCUUCCAGGACUAUGUGUUUUGACUUUCAUAAUGAUUCCCUUGCCGAGUAGGUGCGAUUACAAUUGAACCAAUCAGACACAGACUGAGUUAUGUUACUCAAAGACGGAGUUGUCUUACUCUGGGAAUGAGUUGUUCCACUUUAAAGAAUGCGCUUAACCACUUUGAAGAAUUAGUGAACCUACCGCCAGAAGGAGGGAGAGCCUACCUUGCGCACCAGAAAAGGAAUGAUUGUUGUUACUAAAAGAAUGAGUUACCCUACCUUGACAACUAGCACGGACUUAUUGAUUUGAGUAGAAUAUAUUGUGAUUUACUAUAGGAUAUUGAUUGAUGUUACUUUAGGAAUGAGCUAGGGGAAUUUCAGAAUGGGUUUUCCUACGACAUUGAUUGUUGUUGCUCGCACCCACGAUGACUCUGACUGAAUAAUGGUCUCUAGCAGAUUGAGAAGUUAAUUCAUUAGAGUAUUAUUAUAUGUUAAUUCAUUAGAGUAUUAUUAUAUGUGAAUAAACAAACAAGCAAAUCAAGUAAAGCACCCGAAACUUCUUAUAGUGCCUCUACCUUGAAUUGGAUGAAACUAUAGCACCGUGGGAACUCCACCUUUUCUUCACCGACAACAGCACUGUCAAUAAGAAUUGAGCUCUAUCUAAAGUCAUAAUUCCUUUUCAUAGGCCGGGAAUGCAACGAACAAGCCAAAGAAAGAGCCUGCCCCCCUGCACUCUUAUUCUUGAACACUGACUGGCCUGUCCUGACUUACUGUAUCUAGAUCUAGCCUCACACUGCCGCUUAUGAGCUCGCCGAUGCUUACCUGUACUCUUGAGUUCGAUUGUUAGGCUGACUUUUCGCACUAGAAUAAAGAAAUAGUGCCUAACGAAACUAGCUCUAAACUACGAAUCAAACUAGUGCUUCUCAGGAUUACUAUCUAUAGGCAUAAGAAAUAACAAAAGAAUAAGGGGCGCCCCCAACUAAGGAAAUCCUGAAAAUGAUAACAAGGCUUCUCCACUAGUGGGCUAAUCCGAUCUAGUGAUAAAGAAUACACCCACGACUGCAGGGCUAUAGCUCAAAACAGGGAAUUCCACUCAUAAGUAGAAGGCUGAAAUCAAUGUUAACAAGAAAGGAACACUACCCUAGAAACCAGGCCCCACUACCCGAACUUGGAUUCUAAGACCACUUACAUCAACCCUCGCUCGUUAGUUGAAAACUACCUCUCUUUGCCUUGAACCUCGCUUUACUGCCAACAAGCCUGCUCUUACAGUCUUUGAGCCAGCCAUUGCUUUCUCUCAUUCUCAAUAUCUUUCUUCUUAGCCUUACUUUAAUGUCUCUCGUUCUGUUACUCGUACUUUUCAUUCCGGAAUUCCGUAUUCCUUGUUCUUCUAUUAUAAUGGGUUUUCUCAUAUUCUAUUUCUCUUCUAUUUGCGAGUAGUUUGCUUAGCGUAACAGGGGUGAAAACCGAGAUGACUUUCUCUAUUUUUGUAUCAAUAAAGGUAGCUUCUUUUUCUUUGAACGAGAGAUCUGUUUGUUCCGGUGCUAAGUGAACAUAACUCUUUCUUUGCUUAUAUUGAUCCCUGGUUUUGUGUGUUGGCUGCAUGUAGGGUUUUGUUGCGUGCCAUACUAGGGUUUGGUUUCAAUCAAUAGGUAUGUGUUUCGUUAUGCAAUUCAAGAUAUAGGUUUUCCAUUACUAAUCAGAAUUCCAGUAAUAGUUUGAUAGGGCAAAAAGCAGUCCAAACCACAGCUCUACUUAUUCUCUUUCUGGUCUCAAAUGACUGAGUUAAUGGUGGUUCAUAGAAUGAGUAGGUGCACCAACGACCUACCUAUGAAUGAA